GUGGAUUCCAUUGUUGUCGAUUGCAUCCUGUAUGAUUUGCUUAUACAGUUCGGUGCGGCCGUCCUUUCUCUCUUCUCUUUCGAUCGGGCAGAAUUGGUUAAGUAGUGUUUGUGCUUUUUCGGCUGGGUUGGUUGUUAGUUCUCCAUUGCUUUUGAUGAUGGGUGUGGUGCUGUGGUGACUUGGUUGUCCAUUCAUUGUGUAUUUCGUGAAUUUCCAGAAGGCGGAUGUAUUCUUGUCCAUGGACGAGAUGUAGUUGCUCCAGGAUUGGUUCUUUGCUGAUAUAAUUGUUUUUCUUUUAAUUGCUUCUAGUUUGUUAAGAUGGGUUUUGUCUGCUGGGAGAAGUGUUGUACGCCAUUUUUUGUAUGCCUUCCUUGCUGCUUUUGUUGUUGUUUUGCAGAGGGGGGUCCACCAUGGUUUGUUUGAUUCCUUUUUCUCUUUAGCGGGUGAGAAGUAUUUAUAGGAUGUUUCCAUUAAGGUUGUGUAAAAGAUUUUGAAUGCUUCCUCCGGGGAUGUAGCUGCAUUUAGAGAUGUUGGUGUAACAUUUUGUUUUAUAUCCUUGUUCCAGUUUUCCCACUUGCGUUUGUUGAAUUUCCAAUGGUCGUUUUGUGAAGUUAAGGGAGGGGAGUUGGUGUUUAGUUGUAUGAUAAUAGGGAGGUGGUCGCUACCCCAGUAUGUUUCGGUGUGGAUGUCGGUACGAUAGGCCAGGUCUGGGGAAGUAAACGUUAGGUCUAUGGUAGAGUUGUGUCUUCCGUUUGGAUUUGGUCGGGUUCCUAGGUUCUUCGGGGUGCAGAGAAUUAAUCUGUUAUCAUUUAGAAGUAGGUCCGUCACAUCUCUGCCGCAUCUAUUUUGUUAGUGGUGGUCUUCCCAUACUUCUGAAUGGGCAUUUAAAUCCCCUCCGAUUACUAAGCUGUUUUUGGUUGCGUUUAGGAUGUCCGUUAGUUCUUGGUAGAUGGUGGCUCCUACGGCUUCUAUGUUUGGUGAUUGUGGAAGAGAUAUGGAGGCCGCUCGUAUAUUCUUUUUGAUGAGGAUCGCUACGCCUCCACCGUGAUUGUUCCGGUUUAGGUAGAACGUAUUGAACGCUGAGAACUUAGG